rnacentral:misc_RNA from 1 species
UCUUCGGCCCCUUUUCCUCUGCGAAACUGCACACCACCCCCUCACCAACACCCCAACACCCUCCGGCCCGCACCCUUCAACUCUCUUCUAUCCUUUUACACUCCUCCACUGCGAGCAUUAUGGCAGCGCAUCACGCCAUCGGUACACCGAACAGAUCCACGAAGAGGCAAGCGCACGGACAUGAUCCGAAAGAGGCGUGCGACUGCGAUGACGAAGGGUUAUGACUCGGCCUUUCUCCCUUUUCCUUCCCCUAAUUCCUUUUUCUUGGGCUUUCUUGUACGGCUGUGUGUCUGAUCUACGCCUUCGUACGCUUCCUAGGGGCAAGUUGGGCCCUGUAUCUUCCUCUUCCUUUUUUCCCGUCGUCGCGUGCACUGCUGUCCACACCCUCAUGACGGGGGACACCUCAGCGCGUGGUAUGGCAGGCUCCAGUGGCCCCCGCUCCGUGUGUGCGUGUGUGUGUGUGUGUGUGUGGGGAGCCAUACAGGCCCCCGCUAUCCGCUGCCAAUGCCGAGCCACCUUCCGGUGUUGGCAGGGUUGAGUACCCACGACGUAGGGAAGUCAUAGCGAUGUAGCGCUGAUGAUGUCGGCAGUUGUGUUCCGGGUGGCGCUGCGUCGGAGCGGCCUGCAACCGCGUACACGUCUGCGCCAUCCAUAUGAUGGACAGCGUGUCAGCGUGACUCGAGCGUAUUCCACCCCCGGCCCUCUCGCUACCUACCAGUGUGUGGAGCAUGCGUGGCCCUCCCGGGGGGCGCGCGCCAGGUCGGGACCGGCACAAUGGGAGCGGCUGUGAGGCGACCUGCGGGGCGGCGGGUGGGUGGGGUGGCGUUCGGGGCAGAGACCGCGCUCAGAUAGCUGAGGCGGAAUACCUGUAGCGCGUGUGUCUAGGACUGCAUUGCACGACGCGGAUGGGGAGGGGCCUGUCACAGGCCGGGAGGGGGGCGCUCGAGCGUGGAUUUGGUCUGAUGCUCUGUGGAAGGAUGGACGCGUUGAAGAAAAUUUUUUUCUCGCUUUCUCCGAGUGCUGCGCUGUCUUUCUAUGCGUGCAUGUGAGCCUGCCUCGGCGCACUUCACUUCGCGCUCACCGCGACAUCUCCUCUUCUUUCCUUGGUCAACCUCUCUCUUUGAAGUUACCAUCCUUUCAUGCGCGGAGUACGUACCUUUCCAAACCCUCGUUGCCGUAGGAACUUCCACUCACUCACACCCACUCCUUCUUGCCUUCUCCUGCUUGCUGAUGCGUUUUCCACACCCGUCGCACCCUCCCCCUCCCCCUACACGCUCGGACGGACGGACGCACACGCGCGCACCCUCUUUCUCCUUACACACAAG